rnacentral:rRNA from 1 species
CGGACGGGUGAGUAAUGUCUGGGAAACUGCCUGAUGGAGGGGGAUAACUACUGGAAACGGUAGCUAAUACCGCAUAACGUCGCAAGACCAAGAGGGGGACCUUCGGGCCUCUUGCCAUCGGAUGUGCCCAGAUGGGAUUAGCUAGUAGGUGGGGUAACGGCUCACCUAGGCGACGAUCCCUAGCUGGUCUGAGAGGAUGCCAGCCACACUGGAACUGAGACACGGUCCAG